UGGCCCAUCUCCAGCUUGGACUGCCAGAGGAAAUGUCCGCGUUUUUCAGUGCACAAAACCAUUAUCCGAAUAUUGAAUACUGAAUUUCACUUAACUGAAAGGCUUGAAAAUAGGUCAGAAACAGACCAACAGGGGACGCCGUUUGCCAUUGCAGCCUCAAGUCACGUUAUUACUCGUCUUCCGCUACAUGCUCGCGCUAAACUAAUUUACAGGUUUAAACGACGUAGGUUGACGAUCAUCUUCAUCAUCAUUAUUAAGGGCACUCUACUUUUAUUGUAUGGAAAAGAGCAGCAUGAACACCCUGCUAAAUAUCUCCUGUUGACUUCCUUUCAUAUACAGAACUAUAAGAGGUUGUCUUCCCAUCCUGUUCUCUCCUCCCAGUCACUCACCCUGUUAUCGUUGGAAGCACCAGGCCUGUUUUUGUGACCAACAGAGUCGGAUGGAAUUUUGGCGGCUGUUCACUCCAAACACACAAGGCCUUGGCGCAUGUAAUUAAUGCUCAGCAAACACCAUCCAGAAAAGAGAAAGCACAGAGCGGCGCAAGGCCGGGUGAGAGAGGAGGAGCAGGGAGGUUAGCUCCCAGAUGGUUGACUUGUCUUUCAUCAUUUUCCCUUUUAUUUUGGAAAUCCCUUUUGUCGUGACAAACAAUGGGCAGAAAGGACAUGUGUGCAUGUGACAUUAGAGUUGCUUUGCUGUCCUCGUAAGUUACGCAGACCGUCUGCUAGUGACUCACUUCGUCAGAGAAUUCAGGGCUUCCAGAUGUUCUGUGUCAAAGGUGUCCACAGGCUUGACGGGCUGCGGCCACUUUUCGUUGUGCAGACACUUCAAAGCAUUCUUCUUCCACCUGAGAUGGACAGCAUAUGCCGCUAUCAACCCUGAGCGAUAUGUAAAAUUUGAGGAUGGAAGCAGAAUAAAGCUCGAAAGAGAGAUGAUACUCUUUUAAUGCUAUUUUAAAGAGAUCGACUGAUAUUGAGGGGUUUUUACUUCUGAUUUUGACACAAUGAUGACAACAGUACUGAACUGCACAAUAAUUUUUAUUUAUAGCACUGUCAGUACUGUAAUUUCACUCCCUCCUUGCAAACAAAACAACCUUCAUUUCUAAAACUACAUAGAGGGGUUUAUAACUGAAAGAAAAUUUUAAAUAAUAAUAAUAAUAAUAAUAAUAAUAAUAAUAAUAAUAAUAAUAUCAUAUAAUAUCAUAUAUCCCCUGAAAAUGUUAACAUCUAACCUGGACUAGCAUCAUGUUACUUUAAUGGUACUUUUGCAACAUGUGGUUUGCACUGAAUUUUAAGAAAAAAUAUUAUUAUACUGUUUGGCUUUAGUCACAAAAAAAAUUACUUUCUUUAAGGGCUUUACUUUUAGUAAACUUUUACUUUUACUACUGUCUGAAAUAUCAUUACAAACAGAUCAAAAUAUGCAAAUUAAAGCACCUUUGCCUUUUAGCCUGUUGUUGCCUGAAACACUUAGGAAUUCAGUGCUGUCUUAAUCAAUCAACAUGUAAUAGCUGGAAGGACAAAAUGAGAGGCCUGACUGACCUUGCUGACCUGUAGUCAUUGAACCAUGUAUCACAGAACUGGAAAUGAGUCAAGCGUAUUAGCAUAAUCAAAUGAGAAUCUUUCUUUAUUAUGAUAAGUAAUUGAAUAAUUACUUCUUUCAUUCUUACUUUGAGCCAAUUGACCCCCAUUAACAUUGACUCUUGAGACAGUAAGAGUCAUUUUUAUCUCACUGACAAUGGGCUUGACUAAUCCUGCAAUUACAACAAUGUUAAUCACUCACAUGCUCUCUCUCUCUCACACACACACACACACACACACACACACACACAGGCAAACACAUUGAGAGGAAGUGGAUGUUGACAAGCUCUCUCAGCCUCUGACAUUUAAACAAACUCUCAAAGCACUGUUCACACGUCCACACACACACACACAAACACACACAAAGACAGAUGCCACUUGCAUAAAAGCACCAUGACAUAUUAAUCAAAGCACUUUAAAAAGAAGAUUAUAUUAAAUGUAUUAGAAUAUUAAAGAUAUUAUUAAAAAACAAAACAAACAACAAAAAAAAUAAAAAAUAAAACAACAGCCUUUUCUGCCCCUUUUCAGUGUGCUGAAGAACAUGAUCAUCAGGUUUAACAGAAACCUUUGGAGCUCAUGCUCAUAUUUUCACUCAAAUUGUUAUUAUGGUAAUAUGAUUUGUCUUGGGGGGAAAAUAAGUCUUAAAUUAGAAAAAUGCUAAAUAGAAGCAUUUUCACUAGUUGACUUUUGUGCCCCAGUGUCUGUCACGUACAUAAAAAUUAAUAAAUAAGCUUUAUAAAUGUGUGGGAGGUACACAACAGAUGUUUCUACCGAACUCAAAACAGAAAUGCACUGAUGUAUGUGGUGUAAGAGAUUUUUGUCUCCAUUCUUCAGGGAGAGGCUUCUUCUCCAUCUCAAUUAAUACUGGAGAGCCUGAGAAGCGGUGUUUUGAGAGGCAGACAUCUUUAUUCAUGUGUGCAUCAUUGUGAUUGGCGUGGCCUCCAGACAUGAUUUCUCCCUGCUCAGGAAGCCACCCAGAUGUUAUUGAUAUUCACAAAUGUCUGAAAUUUGCAUCUGAAUGCUUUCCCUAACCAGACCGACUUUAGGACAUGACCGAGAGCCGUGGCAUUA
ensembl:lncRNA